rnacentral:rRNA from 1 species
CCUACGGGAGGCAGCAGUGAGGAAUAUUGGUCAAUGGGCUUACGCCUGAACCAGCCAAGUCGCGUGAGGGAAGACUGCCCUAUGGGUUGUAAACCUCUUUUGUCAGGGAGCAAUUGGCGCUACGUGUAGCGUUAUCGAGAGUACCUGUAGAAAAAGCAUCGGCUAACUCCGUGCCAGCAGCCGCGGUAAUACGGAGGAUGCGAGCGUUAUCCGGAUUUAUUGGGUUUAAAGGGUGCGUAGGCGGAAUGCCAAGUCAGCGGUAAAAUUUCGGGGCUCAACCUCGCUCCGCCGUUGAAACUGGCGUGCUUGAGUGGGCGAGAAGUAUGCGGAAUGCGUGGUGUAGCGGUGAAAUGCAUAGAUAUCACGCAGAACUCCGAUUGCGAAGGCAGCAUACCGGCGCCCAACUGACGCUGAGGCACGAAAGCGUGGGUAUCGAACAGGAUUAGAUACCCGUGUAGUC